GGAAUCUUCGGCAAUGGACGAAAGUCUGACCGAGCAACGCCGCGUGAGUGAAGAAGGUUUUCGGAUCGUAAAACUCUGUUGUUAGAGAAGAACAAGGAUGAGAGUAACUGUUCAUCCCUUGACGGUAUCUAACCAGAAAGCCACGGCUAACUACGUGCCUG
rnacentral:rRNA from 1 species